rnacentral:rRNA from 1 species
AUAGUACGCCCGCAAUAUUAUGUGGAAUCCCGCUUAGGGGCUUCGGCCUCUCUGCGGGCCCACGUAAGCAGGUGAGACUUCUUAGAGGGACUGGUGUCCUACAAGGCGCACGAGAAAGAGCAAUAACAGGUCUGUGAUGCCCUAAGAUGUUCGGGGCCGCACGCGUGCUACAAUGACGAUGCUAAUGAGUUUGAUAUUCUGGCUCGGAAGGGUCGGGCAAACUUGUUAAUCAUCGUCGUGUCUGGGAUUGGGGUUUGUAAUUAUCCCCCAUGAACCAGGAAUUCCUAGUAAGUACAAGUCAUAAGCUUGUGCUGAUUACGUCCCUGCCCUUUGUACACACCGCCCGUCGCUACUACCGAUUGAACGGUUUAGCAAGGUCAUUGGAUCGGCUCUCAUGCGGCGCUUGUCGCUGAGGACUGAAAAGAUGACCGAACUUGAUCGUUUAGAGGAAGUACAAGUCGUAACAAGGUUUCCGUAGGUGAACCUGCGGAAGGAUCACUAUGUAUUAUACCAAAAACCAAAACACAAUCUUCUUCGCAAAAUGUGAAAAAGACUACGGUGCGCAGGCCUGCUCUCACGGGUGAGGACUGAUGCACAUGGGAUACAGAAACCAAGUCCACUAAGUAUGCCAUCUGGGCGAUCGAGGUUUGACUUAAUUUCGCGCAUGCUUUGCAAUGGUAGCGCGUGUCCGACCUCAUCGUUCCAGGAAUAUUGUCAUAUAGCAUACCAGUGGGCCACCAUUGCAAAAAAACCGUUGUUCUACGAAAUCUUUGUUCGCAUCUGGAAGUAAUCGGAAUAAACUGUAACUUGAAACGCUGGCAGUUGUGCCAUGUGCGUGGCAGUGGCCUAUGACUUAGCAUGUAAUGCAUCAGUGUAUUAUAUGUGUUUGACGUUGUGUUUGCCAUCCCGCUAUUGACAUAUAUUGUUGGCCAGAGAGUUGCUUACGUACAACUACAUGUG